CCUACGGGAGGCAGCAGUGAGGAAUAUUGGUCAAUGGACGAGAGUCUGAACCAGCCAAGUAGCGUGAAGGAUGACUGCCCUAUGGGUUGUAAACUUCUUUUAUAUGGGAAUAAAAUGUUUUACGUGUGGGUUUUUGCAUGUACCAUAUGAAUAAGGAUCGGCUAACUCCGUGCCAGCAGCCGCGGUAAUACGGAGGAUCCGAGCGUUAUCCGGAUUUAUUGGGUUUAAAGGGAGCGUAGGUGGAUUGUUAAGUCAGUUGUGAAAGUUUGCGGCUCAACCGUAAAGGUGCAGUUGAAACUGGCAGUCUUGAGUACAGUAGAGGUGGGCGGAAUUCGUGGUGUAGCGGUGAAAUGCUUAGAUAUCACGAAGAACUCCGAUUGCGAAGGCAGUUCACUGGACUGCAACUGACGCUGAGGCUCGAAAGUGUGGGUAUCAAACAGGAUUAGAUACCCUUGUAGUC
rnacentral:rRNA from 1 species